rnacentral:lncRNA from 1 species
UCGCGUGAGGAGAUGUGGCACUCUCCUUUCUUUAUUACACUCCCUAGUUGAAUCAGUUAGAACUCCUAAUUUGGUUAGGACAUGAUCACAUAUAUGGUGCCUUAUGUGUAAAAGAAGGGACCUAAUUCACGAUGGAUGAGAGUUUUUAUUUUGUGCGAUAAAAAGGAAAGCAACUACUGCCUGAUGUUGUGCGAUAAGAA